rnacentral:rRNA from 1 species
UACGUAGGGCGCAAGCGUUGUCCGGAAUUAUUGGGCGUAAAGAGCUCGUAGGCGGCCCGGUAAGUCCGCUGUGAAAGUCCAGGGCUCAACCCUGGGAUGCCGGUGGAUACUGUCGGGCUCGAGUCCGGAAGAGGCGAGUGGAAUUCCUGGUGUAGCGGUGAAAUGCGCAGAUAUCAGGAGGAACACCAAUGGCGAAGGCAGCUCGCUGGGACGUGACUGACGCUGAGACGCGAAAGCGUGGGGAGCAAACAGG